rnacentral:ncRNA from 1 species
CAAAGGUUUGGUCCUAGCCUUAUUAUUAGUUGUCAGUAAGAUUAUACAUGCAAGUAUCCGCUAACCAGUGAAAAUGCCCUUUUACUCGCUCACCCAGAACGAUCCACAAGGAGCUGGCAUCAAGCACACAACUGUAGCUCAAAACGCCUUGCUUAGCCACACCCCCACGGGAUACAGCAGUAAUAAAAAUUUAGCUAUGAACGAAAGUUUGACUAAGCUAUACUGAUGAGGGUUGGUCAAUCUCGUGCCAGCCACCGCGGUCAUACGAUUAACCCAAGUUAAUAAGAAUCGGCGUAAAGUGUGGUUAAAAUGUUAAUAAAAUAAAGUUAAAUUAGCUCUCCGCUGUAAAAAGCUAAAGAUCUAAAGUAAAUAAACUACCAAAGUGACUUUACUAAUUAAUGAAUCCACGAUAGCUGAGACACAAACUGGGAUUAGAUACCCCACUAUGCUCAGCCCUAAACUAUGGUAUUUAGUAACAAAAAUGCCCGCCAGAGAACUACAAGCCAGCGCUUAAAACUCAAAGGACUUGGCGGUGCUUCAUAUCCAACUAGAGGAGCCUGUUACAUAAUCGAUAAACCCCGAUACACCCUACCAUCACUUGCUAAACCAGUCUAUAUACCGCCAUCUUCAGCAAACCCUUAAAAGGAAAAAUAGUAAGCUUAAAUGUACUCACAAAAACGUUAGGUCAAGGUGUAACCUAUGUGAUGGAGAAUAAUGGGCUACAUUUUCUUAAUAAGAACAACAACGAACUCCCAUAUGAAACCUAUAGGAUAAAGGAGGAUUUAGCAGUAAGUCAGGAAUAGAGUGCUUGGCUGAACCUGGCAAUGAAGCACGUACACACCGCCCGUCACCCUCCUCAAAUGACUAGGACCCAAAACCAUAUUUUAAUCCACAUGUCAUGAGAGGAGACAAGUCGUAACAAGGUAAGCAUACUGGAAAGUGUGCUUGGAUUAUU